CCUACGGGUGGCAGCAGUGAGGAAUAUUGGUCAAUGGACGAGAGCCUGAACCAGCCAAGCAGCGUGAAGGAUGACGGCCCUAUGGGUUGUAAACUUCUUUUAUAAAGGCGUAAAACGAGGCACGUGUGCCUUUUUGCAUGUACUUUAUGAAUAAGGAUCGGCUAACUCCGUGCCAGCAGCCGCGGUAAUACGGAGGAUGCGAGCGUUAUCCGGAUUUAUUGGGUUUAAAGGGAGCGUAGAUGGGUUGUUAAGUCAGUUGUGAAAGUUUGCGGCUCAACCGUAAAAUUGCAAUUGAUACUGGCAGUCUUGAGUACAGUUGAGGUAGGCGGAAUUCGUGGUGUAGCGGUGAAAUGCGUAGAUAUCACGAAGAACCCCGGUUGCGAAGGCAGCUUACUAAACUGUGACUGACAUUGAUGCGCGAAAGUGUGGGGAGCAAACAGGAUUAGAUACCCCAGUAGUC
rnacentral:rRNA from 1 species